rnacentral:tRNA from 1 species
CUUUUGAUAGCUUAAAUUUUAAAGCUUUAGGUUUUUACUCUAAUUAUGGAAAUGUACUUCUUCAAAUGU